CGUGCUCAAACCCGACGAUGACGUCGGCGGCUUUGAUGGCUGACAGGCGGUGAGCGAUGGAGAUCGCUGUGCGGCCGAGGCGAGCCUGAGGGAGACAACAACAGCCCCACUCCCAGCACAGCACACUGACAUGCUGGCAAUGAGCACUGCAACCUAAAGGCUCGUCAGAUUAACUGGAGUCCUUCUAGUGGGUUCAGCCCACUUUGACUUUAGCUCAAUCCACAGCCCACAGAGAAGCAUCUGUUUCUGGGCAAAGGGAGCUAUAGGUUUCUGUUGAUGUCCCAAGUGCUGAUGUAGCCAUAUCCAGGAGCAGGAUUUUGGGGUUUCGCACCAAAGCUCGAGCAAUAGCUAUCCUCUGUUUUUGACCUCCACUCAUCUGGCUUCCACCCUCUCCAACAUGAGUGUCAAAUUUCUGUGUGAAGGAAAAAAGAUUAAAGAGCCCCACGACCAGUGGCAAAGGCUUCCAGACAGGGAGAUGCCUGGCCAAGAUUUAAUGCUCCUAUUAAAACGCCAAAGAAAACCUGAAGAAGUGGAAAAAGAAGUUAACAAAAUAUGACAUCACAUUUUUAUUAUAGCUUACAGCUUAGACAAGCAAACCCAACUACAAUAGCUUUAUGACUUCUCAUGCAUCUGCUGAACUGAAGUGAUUCACUACAUGAGCAUU